rnacentral:rRNA from 1 species
CGGAGGGUCCAAGCGUUAUCCGGAAUCAUUGGGUUUAAAGGGUCCGUAGGCGGUUUUGUAAGUCAGUGGUGAAAGCCCAUCGCUCAACGGUGGAACGGCCAUUGAUACUGCAAGACUUGAAUUGUUGGGAAGUAACUAGAAUAUGUAGUGUAGCGGUGAAAUGCUUAGAGAUUACAUGGAAUACCAAUUGCGAAGGCAGGUUACUACCAACACAUUGACGCUGAUGGACGAAAGCGUGGGGAGCGAACAGGAUUAGAUACCCUGGUAGUCCACGCCGUAAACGAUGGAUACUAGCUGUUCGGAGCAAUCUGAGUGGCUAAGCGAAAGUGAUAAGUAUCCCACCUGGGGAGUACGUUCGCAAGAAUG